GCCAGUGUGGUAUAGUGGGUUGAGCAUGAGACUACAACUCUGGAGAUCAGGGUUCAAUUCCCAGCUUGAGCA